rnacentral:rRNA from 1 species
GCAUAUCAAUAAGCGGAGGAAAAGAAACCAACCGGGAUUGCCUCAGUAACGGCGAGUGAAGCGGCAUCAGCUCAAAUUUGAAAGCCCUCGGGCGUUGUAAUUUGCAGGGGAAGUGCUUGGGGCGGGUGCUGUCUACGUUCCUUGGAACAGGACGCCGCAGAGGGUGAGAGCCCCGUGCGAUGGCACCUCUAACCGCAUAAGCCUUCUCCGACGAGUCGAGUUGUUUGGGAAUGCAGCUCAAAGUGGGUGGUAAAUUCCAUCUAAAGCUAAAUACUGGCGAGAGACCGAUAGCGAACAAGUACAGUGAUGGAAAGAUGAAAAGCACUUUGAAAAGAGAGUGAAACAGCACGUGAAAUUGUUGAAAGGGAAGGGUAUGCGAUUAGCGGCCAGCAGGAGGUGGUCUCUCGUGAAAAGGCCGGGCACCGUCCUCGGACACUGUGCGCGGAGAUGGCGAGGGGCCGCCUGAGGUCUGCGACUCUAGGUUGCUGGCGUAAUGAUUGCAUACCACCCGUCUUGAAACACGGACCAAGGAGUCUAACGUCUAUGCGAGUAUGUGGGUGUCAAACCCGCGUGCGGAAUGAAAGUGACACGGUUGGAGCAUUAGCGCACAAUCGACCGAACCUGAAGUUCUCGGAUGGUUUUGAGUAAGAGCAUAGCUGUU